rnacentral:lncRNA from 1 species
CUGAGCCACAGUAGUUCACAGAAUUCAAGUUUCAAAAAGAACUGCCACAACCACCUCGGCCAUCAGACCAUCAGCUGCCAUCUAUCACACAACUCGCACAAGGGAAGAGCCUUUUACAAGGAAGCCUUCAGCAAAAGAUGUGCUUCAGGGAAAAGUUUGCUGUCACUGCAAAAAAAUAUCUAAAAGAAGAACAUUGCCUGGGACCAGUAUAAAGCCUGGAAACACGACUGCAACCAUCUCUGUUUGGAAGCUUUUCAUAUGCUUGUAUGGAUAUGAGAGAAGACACCAGUAUUCAGAUCUUUUUUCCUUUCAUGUUUCAGUCUGACCUUUUCAUCCUAUGCUGAUCAAUUGUAACAGCUGAACAUACUUCCAUCACUACAACAGUUAGAAUUGGUUUGCAGCAACAAUACCUGCUUCAAUAAAUUUCUGAAAGCA